rnacentral:rRNA from 1 species
CAGCAGCCGCGGUAAUACGUAGGGUGCAAGCGUUAAUCGGAAUUACUGGGCGUAAAGCGUGCGCAGGCGGUUUUGUAAGACAGAGGUGAAAUCCCCGGGCUCAACCUGGGAACUGCCUUUGUGACUGCAAGGCUAGAGUACGGCAGAGGGGGAUGGAAUUCCGCGUGUAGCAGUGAAAUGCGUAUAUAUGCGGAGGAACACCGAUGGCGAAGGCAAUCCCCUGGGCCUGUACUGACGCUCAUGCACGAAAGCGUGGGGAGCAAACAGGAUUAGAGACCCCCGUAGUCCCUGUCUCUUAUAC